GAUGAAGAACGUAGCGAAAUGCAAUAAUUAAUGUGAAUUGCAGAAUUCCGUGAAUCAUCGAGUCUUUGAACGCACAUUGCGCCUCAUGGCAUUCCGUGAGGCAUGCCCAUCUCAGCGUUAGAAAAUAUUCUCAAAUUUUAGUUUUGUGCUAAAAUUUGGAUCAUGUCAAGGAAGCUAUUACUAUUAUUGUGAUCGCUCUUUGGAAAUUGAUAGGUCUUUGAGUUGCUACUCAUAGAACGUGAUGAAUCUUUCUUCGUUCUAUUGUAAUUCACUCUGGUAGUCCUAAAACUUGUAUGCCUGUGGCAUAUCUUGUAAUUUGACCUGAGAUUGGGUAGGGAUACCCGCUGAACUUAAGCAUAUCAUAAGCGGAGGA
rnacentral:misc_RNA from 1 species